ACAAAAUUAGACACUAUCUUUGAUAGUAAUACCCGUGAGUUUAUUCGAUUUGAACAAGCAAGAAUCAUACAAAAAAGAAAUCAAGCACAAGAACAAGAACAACAACCUUCGGUUACACCAAAUUACUAUGGACAAUACUUUGGAGAUCUUGGAGGUUCAGGAUCAAAUCUACCAGGUUAUUAAUAUGAUUGUACUUUUUGUGUAAUAUUUAUGUGUUUAUGUAAUUUUACUUAUUUGUGUUAUUUUGUUUUGUAUGAAAUAUGUUUAAUGUAAUAUUGUUAUUGUGUAAUAUUUAUUUUUAAUGAUAUGUAAUAUUUCUUCUAUACUAA
rnacentral:lncRNA from 1 species